GCGCUAUCAGAUGAGCCUAGGUCGGAUUAGCUAGUUGGUGAGGUAAUGGCUCACCAAGGCGACGAUCCGUAACUGGUCUGAGAGGAUGAUCAGUCACACUGGAACUGAGACACGGUCCAGACUCCUACGGGAGGCAGCAGUGGGGAAUAUUGGACAAUGGGCGAAAGCCUGAUCCAGCCAUGCCGCGUGUGUGAAGAAGGUCUUCGGAUUGUAAAGCACUUUAAGUUGGGAGGAAGGGCAUUAACCUAAUACGUUAGUGUUUUGACGUUACCGACAGAAUAAGCACCGG
rnacentral:rRNA from 1 species